UCCGCGUUUCUUUGACAAUUGAAUAUGGGUAAGUAGAUAGAGAUGCAUAACACGCGUUUUUUCAGAACGUGGUGGAACUGCAGAUCGCAUGAGAUCAAGGCACUUUAUGGUCAAGUUACUAAGGGUUGACGGUGGAUGCCUUGGCACAGAGAGGCGACGAAGGACGUGGCAAGCAGCGAUAUGCCUCGGGGAGCGGCAAGCACGCUUUGAUCCGGGGAUUUCCGAAUGGGGCAACCCCACUGGAGUCAUGUCCAGUGAUCUCGGCCUGAAUACAUAGGGACGAAGAGGCGAACCGAGGGAAGUGAACCAUCUCAGUACCUCGAGGAAGAGAAAUCAAACGAGAUUCCGUCAGUAGCGGCGAGCGAACGCGGAAGAGCCCAAACCGACGGCCUUCGGGUUGUCGGGGUUGUGGGGCCUGCUCACAUGGAGUGACAAACCAUUUGUUUAGUCGAAGAGUCCGGAACGGCUCACCAGAGAAGGUGACAGUCCUGUAGGCGAAAAGCAAAUGGCUCCGAGCAGGUACCCGAGUACCACGGGACACGUGGAACCCUGUGGGAAUCUGGGGGGACCAUCCUCCAAGGCUAAAGACUACUCUGUGACCGAUAGCGCACUAGUACCGUGAGGGAAAGGUGAAAAGAACCCCUGUUAGGGGAGUGAAAUAGUACCUGAAACCGUCAAUCUACAAGCAGUGGAACCGCUAUGCCUCCGCAAGGGGGAAUGCGGGACCGCGUGCCUUUUGCAUAAUGAGCCGGCUAGUUA
rnacentral:rRNA from 1 species